rnacentral:rRNA from 1 species
AUUGAACGCUGGCGGCAGGCUUAACACAUGCAAGUCGAGCGAGCGGCGGACGGGUGAGUAAUGUCUGGGAAACUGCCUGAUGGAGGGGUAUAACUACUGGAAACGGUAGCUAAUACCGCAUACCAUCAGAUGUACCCAGAUGGGAUUAGCUGGUAGGUGGGGUAAUGGCUCACCUAGGCAACGAUCCCUAGCUGGUCUGAGAGGAUGACCAUGCACACUGGAACUGAGACGUGGUCCGGAUUCCUACUGGAAGCAGCAGUGGGGAAUAUUGACGAAUGGGCGCUAUCCUGAUGCAGGCAUGCCGCGUGUGUGAGGAAGGCCUGCGGGUUGUAAAGCACUUUCAGCGAGGAGGCGUUACUCGCAGAAGAAGCACCGGCUAACUCCGUGCCAGCAGCCGCGGUAAUUG